GCUGUGGUGGGCUCCACCCAGUUCGAGCUUCCCAGCUGCUUUGUUUAUCUAAGCAAGCCUGGGCAAUGGUGGGCGCCCCUCCUCCAGCCUCGCUGCCGCCUUGCAGUUUGAUCUCAGACUGCUGUGCUAGCAAUCAGUGGGACUCCGUGGGCGUAGGACCCUCCGAGCCAGGUGUGGGAUAUAAUCUUGUGGUGCGCCAUUUUUUAAGCCUGUCGGAAAAGCGCAGUAUUGGGGUGGGAGUGACGCGAUUUUCUUGGAGCCGUCCGUCACCCCUUUCUUUGACUAGGAAAGGGAACUCCCUGACCCCUUGCGCUUCCCGAGUGAGGCAAUGCCUCGCCCUGCUUCGGCUGGCGCACGGUGGGCACACCCACUGACCUGCGCCCACUGUCUGGCACUCCCUAGUGAGAUGAACCCGUUACCUCAGAUGGAAAUGCAGAAAUCACCCGUCUUCUGAGUCGCUCACGCUGGGAGCUGUAGACCGGAGCUGUUCCUAUUUGGCCAUCUUGGCUCCUCAAAUAAGUUGUCUGUUUCUUUGAAAUCUCCCAAGGGGUUUGUGAAGGUACAUUUCAGAAGAUUUCGAAGUCCUGAGCGCUUAGCCGUGCAGGAACAAUGUUAUGAAGACCAGAAAUCUAAAAUAAAGGUGUUGGCAAGACCAUGUCCUCUCUGCAGCCUCUUGGGAAGAAUCCUUCCUUGCCUCCUCCUCUUCUGGUGGUUCUCAUUAUUCCUUGGCUUAUGGCAGAUGAUAUCUCUCUCCCUGCUGUGCUGCCCAGGCUUGGGGAAAAGGUAACACAGGACUGCCAGAAUUCCAGACUACUGAACGAUAAGGUAUGCAUUUAACAAUAAAUAUGAAAAUCAGAAUGAACUACAUCAGCAGUAACUCACCCAGCAUCUUAGAUGUCUGUGUUUACUCACUUCUGUUUACUUCUUAGGCACACUGCCCCAGUUAACACUUAAGAUAUCAGAAGAGAUACAUCUUUUUUUUUUCAUUGAUUCACUUAAGUAGCCCAAGGGAGCACUCAAGAAUUCUCAGAUUUUCUCAGCUCAUAGCCCCUUUCAUUACCCCCUCUCGACUGUCACAUCAGAAAAUCCAAACAGUAUAAAUGAGGGCAAUGAGACAGCCCUUGAGAAUUCACAUGCCCUUGCCCCAAAUAUCCACAUUGUUAUAAUGUCUUCACGGAGUUCUUAAGCACUUUCAGAAUUUUCCAUCUUCAAUAAUUAGUGCGUAAUAAGAAUAUCUGUAAACAUUUUAGAGAUGGGUAAUGUCUUUAUUUCACAGAUGAUGGGGACUUUAUUUUUGCCAACUCAAGUACACAGCUGACCUCAAUCAUCAGUCUCAUUUUUCAUUUGUCUCAAGACAUGAAA
rnacentral:lncRNA from 1 species